GGAAGACCUGGAUGCUUCAUACUUUGUAUAUAGAUGCCUCAUGUUACGAAGUUUCCGUCAUUCACAUGUCCAAUGUCCUUGACCUCAUUUUCAUGGUUCAGUGACCACUUGGAAAAAAAGUUCAGAUUUUUUGUAAUGUUGAAUUCUCUCUUAUUAUAAGUAAUAGGAUAACUAUAUUUGAUAUGUGCGUACCUUGAAAGGUCCUCAUGUCUGUCAGACAGUUUUCACUUGACCUCGACCUCAUUUCAUGGAUCAGUGAACAAGGUUAAGUUUUGGUGGUCAAGUCCAUAUCUCAGAUACUACAAGCAAUAGGGCUAGUAUAUUCGGUGUAUGGAAGGACUGUAAGGUGUACAUGUCCAAUUGGCAGGUGUCGUCUGACCUUGACCUCAUUUUCAUGGUUCAGUGGUUAUAGUUAAAUUUUUGUGUUUUGGUCUGUUUUUCUCAUAGUAUAUGCAAUAGGUCUACUAUAUUUGUUGUAUGGAAUGAUUGUAAGGUGUACCUAUCUAGCGGGCA
rnacentral:lncRNA from 1 species